AUACGGAGGGUGCAAGCGUUAUUCGGAAUCACUGGGCGUAAAGGACGCGUAGGCGGGUUGGCAAGUCAGAUGUGAAAUCCUACAGCUUAACUGUAGAACUGCAUUUGAAACUGCUAACCUAGAGUAUGGGAGGGGGCGAUGGAAUUAGUGGUGUAGGGGUAAAAUCCGUAGAUAUCACUAGGAAUACCGAAAGCGAAGGCGAUCUCCUGGAACAUAACUGACGCUAAGGCGUGAAAGCGUGGGGAGCAAACUGGAUUAGAUACCCCAGUAGUCC
rnacentral:rRNA from 1 species